UGGGGAAUUUUGGACAAUGGGGGAAACCCUGAUCCAGCCAUCCCGCGUGUGCGAUGAAGGCCUUCGGGUUGUAAAGCACUUUUGGCAGGAAAGAAACGUCGCGGGUUAAUACCCCGCGAAACUGACGGUACCUGCAGAAUAAGCACCGGCUAACUACGUGCCAGCAGCCGCGGUAAUACGUAGGGUGCAAGCGUUAAUCGGAAUUACUGGGCGUAAAGCGUGCGCAGGCGGUUCGGAAAGAAAGAUGUGAAAUCCCAGAGCUUAACUUUGGAACUGCAUUUUUAACUACCGGGCUAGAGUGUGUCAGAGGGAGGUGGAAUUCCGCGUGUAGCAGUGAAAUGCGUAGAUAUGCGGAGGAACACCGAUGGCGAAGGCAGCCUCCUGGGAUAACACUGACGCUCAUGCACGAAAGCGUGGGGAGCAAACAGGGUUAGAUACCCUGGUAGUCCACGCCCUAAACGAUGUCAACUAGCUGUUGGGGCCUUCGGGCCUUGGUAGCGCAGCUAACGCGUGAAGUUGACCGCCUGGGGAGUACGGUCGCAAGAUUAAAACUCAAAGGAA
rnacentral:rRNA from 1 species